UACAGAGGGGGCAAGCGUUGUUCGGAAUUACUGGGCGUAAAGGGCGCGUAGGCGGCCUGUUAAGUCGAACGUGAAAUCCCCGGGCUCAACCCGGGAACUGCGUCCGAUACUGGCAGGCUUGAAUCCGGGAGAGGGAUGCGGAAUUCCAGGUGUAGCGGUGAAAUGCGUAGAUAUCUGGAGGAACACCGGUGGCGAAGGCGGCAUCCUGGACCGGCAUUGACGCUGAGGCGCGAAAGCUAGGGUAGCAAACGGG
rnacentral:rRNA from 1 species